UAGGGAAUCUUCCGCAAUGGACGAAAGUCCGACGGAGCAACGCCGCGUGAGUGAAGAAGGAUUUCGGUUCGUAAAACUCUGUUGUUAGGGAAGAAAAAAUGUAUAGUAACUAUAUACAAAAGAGACGGUACCUAACCAGAAAGCCACGGCUAACUACGUGCCAGCAGCCGCGGUAAUACGUAGGUGGCAAGCGUUGUCCGGAAUUAUUGGGCGUAAAGCGCGCGCAGGUGGUUUAGAAAGUCUGAUGUGAAAGCCCACGGCUCAACCGUGGAGGGUCAUUGGAAACUAAUAAACUUGAGUGCAGGAGAGAAAAGUGGAAUUCCUAGUGUAGCGGUGAAAUGCGUAGAGAUUAGGAGGAACACCGGUGGCGAAGGCGGCUUUUUGGCCUGCAACUGACACUGAGGCGCGAAAGCGUGGGGAGCAAACAGG
rnacentral:rRNA from 1 species